ncrna:unclassified sequences ssnA RNA
GCACUUACGGCUGUAACGAAGUGCUUCGCGCACGGGCCGGACGUUCUG